UGAGUUACCUCUUGUUGUGAAUGAAUGUCCCCCACUCUGUCUGUCGCCCUUGCUCAUAUUCUCUCAUUUACAUGACACUUAUCUAGGCAACAUGUGGUGUUGAUGGACAGGCUCCCUGGUGGGAUGGGAGGGAGGUGGAUGAUGACCUCCUAGUGUGCUCUGCUGCAGCAGUGACAGACUGGCCAACAUUCGCAGCUCAUCUUCCUCAUCCUCUUCGUCUUCUUGACUUCUCCUUAGAUCAGGCCUGCUUGAGCCCAAAGGUAGAACCCUUCUAUCGACCCUCACCUACGAAAAAAAUAAAUAACACUGUGGCAGUGCGGAGGGUGUGGCCGGGCCAUGAUUCCACACAUCCGGCCCCUAAUUAGGCUGAUUAAGCCAGAGAGGGAUAAAGGCGACCAGAGAUGGCAGUGCGACGGAGAGAGAGUUACAAUCAGCUGCCCGACACCUGUGUGUUCAUUCUUCAUCGUGAAGAUCCUUCGAACCUUACAGCAGGCGGAGAUGAUGAUCCCAUCCAGAGACAGGAAACGUGCCCCUCUGAAUAUCUCAGCAGUGAGGGCGUCCAGAUCAAUACACAGAUUACACCACUGCACACAGACAGUAGCACCUUAUCAUACCUUACACCAACUACAAAAACAUUUAUCAGGUCAUUUUCUGUGAUCAUGUUACAAAGUAUCGUGCUGAUCCAAAACUAAUUGGUCUGACUCCUCAUGGUGAUUAUUGGCAGACAGUCUUGGAGAAUACUGUGCAGUAUCUCUUUUGAAUACUUACAAUAUUGCGUUUGAGGCAG